rnacentral:rRNA from 1 species
UUCGCAAUGCCCGAAAGGGUGACGAAGCGACGCCGCGUGUGGGAAGAAGGCCUUCGGGUUGUAAACCACUGUCGGGAGUUAGGAAGUGCAGGAGCGUUAAUAGCGUUCUUGCUUGACUAAGGCUCCAGAGGAAGCCACGGCUAACUCUGUGCCAGCAGCCGCGGUAAUACAGAGGCGGCAAGCGUUGUUCGGAAUUAUUGGGCGUAAAGAGCACGUAGGCGGCUUUGUGAGUCAGUUGUGAAAGCCUUCUGCUCAACGGAAGAACAGCAUCUGAUACUGCAAGGCUAGAGUGCGGAAGGGGAGAGUGGAACUUCUGGUGGAGCGGUGAAAUGCGUAGAUAUCAGAAGGAACGCCGGCGGCGAAGGCGACUCUCUGGCCCGUAACUGACGCUGAGUGUGCGAAAGCUAGGGGAGCAAACGGGAUUAGAUACCCCGGUAGUCCUAACUGUAAACGAUGGGCACUAAGUAGAGGGGUUUU